CGCCCCCAGUGAUGUGCUGGCACAACUUGCUUUGUCCAAUAACACGACUUCACUGCCUAAUCCCCUCCACAGGGGACAUCAUGCAAUCAAGUUCCUGGAUUUCCUGACUUAUUUGGGCAAACAGCACAGUCUGCAUCCCGUGCUCACCCUCCCUGAGAGCCAUGGGCAGGACUUGUCCCACAGCACCAUGAUGAGUGCCACAGGAGCGCCCUCGGUGGCUUCACCCUGGGGAGCAAAUGAAGGCAUGGGACACUUGGAGACACAGCUGUGAGGUGGCACUUGGGAAUGAGUUUUUCAGUACCUGCCAUGUGCUGGGCACAGCACAAAGGGGAAGGUCUGUGGACACCAUGUGGCCUUAUUCCCUUUCUGUCUCCUAAGAGAUGUGGUUGACCACGCAGCUGAGGCAGGAGCACAGCAGUUUAAGAGAGAUGUCCAUGCCUGGGAGAUAUUAAGGCCAAUAUUUUAAGAGUGUUCAGGAAAGACUAAACAUUGUUUGAAUGAAGAGGAGAAAAAGAAAAGACAGCUGACCCUGUUAGAGCUGUAUCUUCCCCUAUGAAGAGGCAACAACCAGCUUUUGGCCUUCAGGAGCCAAAGAAAUGAUACGUUUCAGGCCCACAGAACUUCUCCUCCUCAAAAGGGAAACAGGCCCCAUCUAUGCCCCAGCGUGGUGCAACACACCUGCUCAGACCCCUGCUGUGGGCCUUGGCCAGGGCCAGCUCCCAUAAGAGGGAUCUGUACUGGAUGGGCCAGGAAAACUGGAUGCUUCUGCCAAGGAUCCAAGCUGGCCAUAUCUGUACUGCCUACAAAUCCCACUGGGCCAGGCAAGACUUCCAGUGCGUGCUGCCAGACAUUAACCCUGUGCAAGCUGGGGCUGUUGAGGCAGGGGAUGCACAUCGGCCCAGUGGAACAGAGCGGGACCACAAAGAGGAAGAGAAAUGUACUCAAAAGUGAAACUUGAAAAAGGGAAUGUUUCUUUGCUUCCCUUCCAGCCUGGUUUACAGCAUUCUCUCUGCCACAUCAGAAGACAUCCUGCUCUUCAACUGCAUCCUACUGCAAGGCUGCUCAUGCUGGAGGCUUUACUUUUUUCCUCUGAAGCUGCAGGCCACAGAUGAAAAACUGAUAUAGAGGGGUUCCAGGGCUGAAUCAGGACAUUAUUUUUGCUGUUUCUUUAGAAAUACCCAAUCCAACCUAUUUUUGGAGAAGAAAAGGGGCACUUAAAAAAGCAGUACCACUUGGUUGCCCUCCUGCCACCAUCUCUAUUUAUUGAUACUGACAUUUUUUAAAGGGCUCUUGGGAGGGAGCAUAUGUGGUUUCCGAGGACACUUUCCCAAAAAAAAAAAAAAUCAGAGCAUGUAGCUGAUGGUUUGUGUCUCUGUUAGUAUUCAGCUCCUAAAUUUAAGCUUCCAGAGAAAUGCCAAAACUGACUUGGACAAGUAAAAUUCAGUGGGAAAAGAGUGUCACUUCCUAAAUCUGCAGGAGACAUGUUUUAUAAAAACAGCUGAACUGUAUAUUAUGAACAGCAAGACCAUUUGACAUAAGAUUUUCCAAGCAUUUACAGGUGUGACUGCAUAGGUGAACUAUGAGUUUAAUUGGUUGUCCAUAUGUACCAUCUUCAUCACUGACAUUAAUGCAGUAAAAUCUUUUCUUUUGGGGUGUGUGUGCAGACAUCUGGAGUGCAGAUUGUAACAGCUCUCUAGUUGCAAUGUUAUCCCUAGAAGAACCGUGUUUUUUGAACAUGAAAGAACACAUUGUUUUCAAAGGGCUUUGCAGUCACAUCUGGAAGAAGUGCUCCUCCUGAUGCUUCAAGACAGAAAGGAGAAGAGCUGAUGGGAUAUCAGCUGAGGGAAAGCUUGCUUCCUCCUCUAAUAUAGGAAGCUGGACUUCUUUUGAAUUAUUUAGCAUUCAGUCAGCAGAUAAAAAUACACUGACUGGAUGAACCAGUGACCUCUUCUAUGAUCACAAUAGCUGUAGUAGCCGGGGGGGGCAGGAAGGGCCUACAACUGCACAUCUUCUCCAUAUUCUCAUGCAGAAAGCUUCAAUCAUUAAUGGAGGUGCAAGACCAGGCUGGAGCCACCUUGUUGAGGCUGGGCUCAGAGAGAAGGCCCUCUUACACUUUAAAUCACAGCACCUACACUGCUAUCUCAGAGCCCCAGGUACCUGUGCAGCAUCACUGAGACUGACCUUUCUGAGACCCCAGCCAGACACCUUUUCCCACGAAGCUUGGAGCAAUGUGUCAUGCAAACCCCAUCUAAAAGCUGGCUCUUUCACCUGCUAACAUGCAUCCAUUGAACACACAAGCUGUGCUCCAGGAACAAGGAGCAAAAAAGCACCACUCGAAGAGGCAUUGCUGGGUUAAAUGUUCCACAGGAGGACCAACAUCUUCUCCACUACACAUCUUUUUUUGGUAGCAUCAGAAUGAGAUAUUUGAUUAAAUGCACAGGAGCAGUAUGGCUUCAGCAGUUAAACUGCUAUUUUGUGUAUUCUGGGAAGGGGGGGACAUCAACAGAUUGCAAAAUGGGAAAGUCUCUCUGGACACAGCAAACAAACAACAUGUUACGUAAUUAGGCCUUUUGGGAACCAGGGGAAGGUCUCCAGAAGAUCAGGGCCCUCCCAGCGCUUUCUAAUUUUACUGGGACUUACCAGCAAGCCAGCCCUCUAAUAAUAGAGGCUUGUGCAUACUUUUCUUUCAUCUUCAUGUCUCCCUGUACUGCCCUACCUUUGUUAUUACUGCCCCAGAAAAACACAUCUUACUCACUUUUAUCAAGCUGAUUCAUUCAGACUUGAAUGGCAGACCUGAAGAGGCACUAAAGACCUUUAGAAAGGGCAGCAAAGACAUCUCUUGGCCAUCAGAGCAUGAAAAAAACUGGAAUUUUAGAACUUUAUUGAAUCCAGUGUGCUAGGGAAUUGCACCUGAACUGAAGUACAGCGCUGUCAAGCAACGACAGAGCGAAAAGUCUUUAGCUCCAUAAUCCACAUAUUGUGCUAGUAUAUCUUCUUUAUUGGAGCAAAUUCUUCCAAGGGAGCAUGCCUGUAAGCAGCAGCUCAGCAUCAGGAACACUCUGCCUCUGUGUUGUCCUAAACUUGUGUCAAAGGCAAAACAUGGACCUGCAGGAAACCUGUCAGUCAGAUUGUACCACCCAGCACCUGAACAUGGACCGCAGCAUCUGAGUUUUAGACUAAUACCUACUGCCUUUCAGGCACACAGAUAGAUUGGAAUAUGUACCACUGGUUUCAUUCUGUCAAGGUCCUCUCCCACCUGAAUGGAGAGAGACCCUUGGUCAACCUCUUUCUCUUACACCCAGGCCCCAGGCUGUGGACACUUCUGAGGUACCAUCACUCCCUGUGAUUCCUGGGAGAGACAGUUUAAAGACAAUAGAGAUACAAUGGCAUCUGCACAGAAAAGGUUUCUAAGAAAGCUGCUUUCCCCUGUUUCUUGCUUGCUAUGCACAUUCUGGCAGCUGGUAAGAAGAGGAAGGAGGAGGGUUGCAGCCCUGGUGAGGGCACACCAGCACAGAUCCCACAGGAUGUGGUCAGCCCGCUUCCAGCACACCCCUUGGUUACUGGGCUGUUGGCAAAAGUCAGCAGUGAACAGCUCAGAGGAGGGAAGGCCACCGCAAGAGGUAAGCAGGCACAGCCAGGGAGGCACACCUUGCCUCAUCACAGCCCCAGCACCAAGAGGCAGCACAGACACAGGUCUUGGAUGAAGGACAGCACAGAGAUCCUGGCCACAGUGGUGGAUCCAUGGGAAGGCACAGUCCAAGCCCCUCUGAGCACUGUUACAGAGGCUGUGGCCAUACGUUUGGCCUGCCAUGUAAACAUGUCACAUCCCAUGGGAGCUGGGAACAAAUGUCAAAGUCUAACUGCCACUAGCCCAGUUUUGAUAGUGUUGAGUGACCUGGAUAAAAAGAAAAGAUCUUUUGGGAGAUAUCCUUACAGCCUAGUUCAUUGCAUCUCUGCAGACAAUUCCCUGCAUCUCCCAAAAUGUUAAAAAAAAAAUUCAAAUAACUGCAUUCCUCUCUACUACAUUUAUCAUUCAGCAGUCAGAAGCUAUGUGCUCUUGACCCUUGUUUGAGCAACAUGUCUGCUGUAGCCUCCAGAGCUACAACAUCAUAGAGCUGUGAACUUUUUGCUCAGUUUUUCCUGGGAAGUCAAAAUCCCAACUGGUAUAAAUACUGCCUGAGAACUAUAAAUCACCUUUUUCCCCCCUGCCAUCUACUUCAAGAAGCUUUAUGAAGAAGUUUCAUUCUCCCUAUGCAGAUGCAGCAGAUACAGGUGACAGAGAGAAGGACCUCUCUGGGCACUCACCAUAGUUUGUCUCAGCUCCUGGGAGACCAGUAGCACAAUAAAUAACACCCAAACCAAAAUUUCGCUCUCCCUUUACCCAGCAGUGCCCUUUACCAGUUACUUCUUUCAGUUCUAAUGCAGUGUUUUUGUGCUACAGAACUUAGUCCCUGUGGCUGCAAACACAGAAUUCACUGUAGGAAGAGACUCAGGCUGGAAAAACACAGCUCCCAGCCCUUACUCCUCCCAGAGCACCAGCUGGGCAAGGAAAUGUCUUCAUGACAUACCCAAGGAUAAAUGUUUUCUGCCGUGAUUUACUGAGCAAAUUUAUGUUCUCCACAUAAUGUAAUAAGGCUACAGCACUAAUAAUUUCCGCAGCAUCCAAAUAGCAACACUCAGGACUAGCCUCCAACAGCUUUCAGCCUCCUUUUUUUUACUUGCAAGCAGCUGAAUGUAACUGCAGUUACAUCCUAACCAUGAAGCUUCCCUGCUUAACAACACUUUUUCAACAUGUGUAUUGGACAGUGACCCAGACCUGCACCCUUUAGAACACGAAAAGGUGAAGCAACCUUCACCAAAGCCCUGAGCAGAGCAUCAGCAGGACAGCUGUGACCCAGUACUGGAUGAUCUGAGCCUCAACAGGAAACAGGAAGCAGGUACCACAAUUCACACACUCAGUUUAAGCCCUUUGCAGGACAGGCCCUCGUGCCUGGGUUUUGGUUUUGUUUCACAGCCACCUCGGUUUUGUUCUCUGCUCUGCUGCAGAGCUGAGGCUGUAGAGAUCUGCUCAGCACAUGGGUACAGCUCCCAGAUCAGCUCCACCUCCUUGCUGCUGGAAGGCUGGAGUGCCCCUGACCAGGCAUCACUCUCCAGUCUGCUGUAAAGGCAGGGACACAGUGUUUCAGGCUCCCCACAGCACCUAAGGCCAUUCAUGGCUUAUUGCAAUGCACUGGCACCCAAACACCUCCAGUGCAGCUCUGGGAUCAAAGUGCAUUUCAUUUCAGGAGAAACAGAGACUGUAAGAAACAAAUAAAACCUUGACUUACACUAUCUCAUCAUUCUGGAACUCCAGUUCCCCACAGGUGUCUUCAAAGUCCUCUCCUCCACCUUUGGCCGUGCCUUCAAUGGUUUUGUAGGGCACAAUAACAUUUCCUCGUGCUCCAGAGGUUCGCAACACUUUCACUUCCAUGGUUCCUACGCUUUCACUGAUGUGUGUUACUGGCUCCUCGAAGGUGAAGAUGCCGGCGUGGUCAUCGUCAAAAAUGGUGACGGUGGCAGUAGAUGGCGAUCCCAAGCAGGCAAGUGUUGAGACACGGCUGGCCUCAAGAACGCCCUCAUCUGAGGCCUCGGUGCUCACACGGACGUUGCUGAGAUGGACCAGGAAGUUCUCAUCCUCCUCAAAUAUGUCAUCGUCGAUUAUGCCAACACGGAUUUCCUUCUGGGUCUCUCCAGGCUUGAAGACCACCGUCCCUUCAGUGAAUUCAUAGUCAGAGCCGGCGUUGGCCGUGCCGUCCUCUGUCCGGAAGUCGACGUACACGGUGUUGGUCAGGUCUCCUCCCCGGCGGACGAUGGUCAGGGCCACGGUGCCACAGUUCUCCAAGCACUGGUAGGUGCCCUGCUCGAAGUAGAGCUUGCUGACGGGAUCGUUUUCGGUCACCUCGCUGUUGACCUCGUGCAUGCUGACGGCUUUGCGGGCCUGGUCUGCAGCGUGUCUCUUCAGGAUGUUGCCAGCGCCGGUCAUGAGCCGAGUGGCCUGGAUGCGGUAGAAGGCCCUGCUCUUCUGCUGCUGGCUCAGGACCUGGUAGUUGGCCAACUCUAUGAGCUGCUCAAUUUCCUUGUCUGGGUGCUUUUGUUUCAGCUCCUUCAGGAUCCGAGCCAUUUCCCUCCUGGCUUCCUCGUCAUCCUGGUCUUUUUCGUCCACCUCCAACACCAGUGUCCCAUCCAAAAAGUUCUCUACAUGAGAAUUAGCCACCUUCCCGUCCAUCUCGAUGUCAGCCUUGGAGGAGGGCCGGUCACCCUCAUGCUCAAUGAUCAUGCCUCUCUGCUUGCCAGCUCGGUAUUUCUUGUAGACGUACUUGUAAAAUAAAAGCCUCCUGUCAGCUAUCCAGGCAAACACCACACAGAUGGGGAAAAAGAAGAAGGUGAGCAAGCCUUCCCAAACUUCCACAAUCCCAGGAGAAGACACAGAUAAAAUAAUGUAAAGCCAAGUGUAGGCAAAGAUGCUCCAGGCCGCUGUAACAAAAAACACUCGCAAGUGCUUGAUCUUCCUUAUCUCUCCAUCUGGCACCACGUACACACAGAUUGCAAUGAUGACAAACAUGUUGAAGGCAGCACUCCCCACAAUGGUGCUUGGCCCCAAGUCCCCCGCCGUGAAGCCAUGGCCGCACACCUCGAUAACAGACAGGAGGAUCUCCGGAGCAGACGAGCCCAGGGCCAUCAGCGUGAGGUUGGAAACAGUCUCGUUCCAGAUCCUCACGGUGGUUUUGCUGGUCUCGCCGUUGGGCUUCUUGAUGGUUAUUUCCCGCUCUUGGGAUGUAAUGACUUCGAUGGAGGACAUGAAGCGGUCGGCGAUGAUGGACACUCCCAGGAACAUGUACACCAUUGCUACAAAAUACACCGUUGCCCGAGCGAUUUUGUCCCCAAACGAGGGGUCCUGGGGUUCCCAUAUUGGUAAAAUCACCCCCUUUUUGCAGAUGUAGGAGCCAGCGCACUCCUCGGUGUCGUUGGCGGGCAGUUCACUGGGGCUCUCCGCAUGUGUGCCCUCUGCAUGGAAGAGUAGCACCAGGACAAGGCUCAGGAGAGGGAAGCUCACUGGGAAGGCGUGUGAGUGAGUUACUCGCGACAUGGCCACUUCCACCAGACGGGUCCCAAACAUCCUCAACCUGAAGAGGCAAAAAGGAAAGAUUAAGUGAGGCCAACCAGAGAUAACAGAUUUUCCCCUCCAAAGAUACGGUCAAGUUAUCCUGUUACUCAAGAAGAUGCAGCUGAUGAGCCCAUUUUGUUAUGAUUAGUGAUGUUUUCCAUCCUCUAGCUCAGUCAUCUGAAGCAGGAUGGAUUCAGAUGGUACCAGUGAGCUAGCACCUACUCCCUUUAGCUACCAUGAUGUUUCUUUCUCUUUGUUGAAAACCUAUUUGUUCAAUUGCAUUUUCUUGUUCCUCUAAUCUAAUUAAAGCCCAUCAUUCUGCUUCACAGCUGGCAGAAGUGUUUCCCAUUUCAAAAUUACAGUGCCCUCACUCACUCACUGGAAUUCAGGGUAAGAGCAGGAGAGGACAGGGAAAUCUACUAUCCCCUCAUCAUGUUUAAAAAAUAUUUUUCUACUUCUAAAUCAUUGUAAGCUAUGUAUUCCACAGUCUUUUCUUGCUCACGGUCCUCCCAACAUCUACUCCACAUCGGAAAUCUGCGCAAAGUGAGUUGGAGCCCUGGAAAAACCUUACUCUUAACAGUAACUUGGUCAUAAGGUGCACCAGAAGGGCAGCCUGUAAUUAAUGAUUUUGGAGCCAUUCCUUCCACAGUGCAUCACUUUGCACCUUCCCAAAACUGGAAAGAGCCGCAUAUGCAUCGAAGCCUGGCUCUCUUGGCAUGCUCCUAGAGGAAACGUGUCCCUGCGCUCUUUUCCCACUAGGUCAGCUUUGACGGCUUCCCCUUCAAGGGCCUUUCUCACUCCAUUUACAACAUCAGUCAUCAGGCAUGACAGCCGUUCUUGCCCUUGUCCUGCCUCAGGAUUUUCCAGCAAUGUAGAGGAGCUGUUAAAGAGGUUUGCAGUUAGUUAACAGUGCAUAAACCGACAGAACAGAUGCCUUUAAGUACAAAGAGAUGCUUAGUGAAAAAAAAAAACCAAAAAACCCUGAGCAUGCUCAGUGUCA